GACGAACGCUGGCGGCGUGCUUAACACACGCAAGUCGAACGCUGAAGCUCAGCUUUUGUUGGGUGGAUGAGUGGCGAACGGGUGAGUAACACGUGAGUAACCUGCCUCCUUCUUUGGGAUAACGCCCGGAAACGGGUGCUAAUACUGGAUAUUCACUGGUCUUCGCAUGGGGGUUGGUGGAAAGGGUUUUUCUGGUGGGGGAUGGGCUCGCGGCCUAUCAGCUUGUUGGUGGGGUGAUGGCCUACCAAGGCUUUGACGGGUAGCCGGCCUGAGAGGGUGACCGGUCACAUUGGGACUGAGAUACGGCCCAGACUCCUACGGGAGGCAGCAGUGGGGAAUAGUGCACAAUGGGCGCAAGCCUGAUGCAGCGACGCCGCGUGAGGGAUGGAGGCCUUCGGGUUGUGAACCUCUUUCGCUCAUGGUCAAGCCGCAACAAUGGUUGUGGGGAGGGUAGUGGGUAAAGAAGCGCCGGCUAACUACGU
rnacentral:rRNA from 1 species